rnacentral:misc_RNA from 1 species
AGCGCACGCUGCCCCACCCCCUGCCACUUCGCCGCUGCGCGAGGCGCAUGCGCGUGAUGAAUACUAUUCACAUAGUUUCCUGUCAGUCCGAGCACUGCAUGAGGUCAUAACGUUUCUCAACUCAGCUCACACUGACGCGGUGCGGGUGUUGUUGUGUGGUUGUGUGGUGGUGUGAUCUUUUCGCUCGUUGUAGGUGUCGGGUGUGGCGUCGUGGGAACCAGUGAUCUAGUGAAUGAUUAUUUUAUGUCAUUUGUAAUGUAUCGUUUGUGGUUGCUGUUACAGCGGUGAAGGUCAUGCUUGUUAUGGGCUGUGUGCUGGGCAGCGUUGAUAAGAAUGCCGAUGCGCUCCUGUGCUCUGUGUCGUUGUCGGCAGAAUAUGAUGUCACCGAAGUGGUCUACCGGACUGCAUAUGCAGCCAUCUGCGCACCCCUCGUAUGAAUGGCUGCAACUAUCGCAAAUCUUGUGCUUCUUCUAAUGUGUGCUUCUUCAUCCCUCUUUUUGGCUUGAUGAAUUCGCGAUGCGGGGCUUUCCUAG